rnacentral:misc_RNA from 1 species
GAUGAAGAACGUAGCGAAAUGCGAUAAGUAAUGUGAAUUGCAGAAUUCAGUGAAUCAUCGAAUCUUUGAACGCACAUUGCGCCCGCCAGUAUUCUGGCGGGCAUGCCUGUUCGAGCGUCAUUACAACCCUCAGGCCCCCGGGCCUGGCGUUGGGGAUCGGCGGAGCCCCCCGUGGGCACACGCCGUCCCCCAAAUGCAGUGGCGGUCCCGCCGCAGCUUCCAUCGCGUAGUAGCUAACACCUCGCGACUGGAGAGCGGCGCGGCCACGCCGUGAAACACCCAACUCUUCUGAAGUUGACCUCGAAUCAGGUAGGAAUACCCGCUGAACUUAAGCAUAUCAAAAGCGGAGGA